rnacentral:misc_RNA from 1 species
AACGCACCUUGCGCCCUUUGGUAUUCCGAAGGGCAUGCCUGUUUGAGUGUCAUGUAGACUCAACCCCUCGGGUUUCCGAGAUGGUUGGAUUUGGGCGCUGCCUACCCGGCUCGCCUUAAAGGUCUUAGCGGAAUAGCACCGAUGUCGGCGUAAUAAGUUUCGUCGACAGACAAGUGUGAUGUCUGCUCAUAAUCGCCCUCGGGCAUCUUUUGACUCUGACCUCAAAUCAGGUAGGACUACCCGCUGAACUUAA